rnacentral:rRNA from 1 species
GUUUACAGCCAUGCCACCCUGAACAAGCCCGAUCCUGUCUGAUCUCGGAAGCUAAGCAGGGUCGGGCCUGGUUGGUACUUGGAUGGGAGACCACCUAGGAAGACCAGGUGCUGCAGGUG